rnacentral:rRNA from 1 species
UACGUAGGGUGCAGGCGUUGUCCGGAAUUAUUGGGCGUAAAGAGCUCGUAGGCGGUUUGUCGCGUCUGCUGUGAAAAUCCAGGGCUUAACCCUGGACCUGCAGUGGGUACGGGCAGACUAGAGUGCGGUAGGGGAGAUCGGAAUUCCUGGUGUAGCGGUGAAAUGCGCAGAUAUCAGGAGGAACACCGGUGGCGAAGGCGGAUCUCUGGGCCGUAACUGACGCUGAGGAGCGAAAGCAUGGGGAGCGAACAGG